rnacentral:rRNA from 1 species
UACAGAGGGUGCAAGCGUUAAUCGGAAUUACUGGGCGUAAAGCGUGCGUAGACGGUUAUUUAAGUCGGGUGUGAAAGCCCCGGGCUCAACCUGGGAAUUGCAUUCGAGACUGAAUAGCUAGGGUGCGGAAGAGGGAAGCGGAAUUUCCGGUGUAGCGGUGAAAUGCGUAGAUAUCGGGAGGAACACCAGUGGCGAAGGCGACUACCUGGCCUGUUCUUGACGCUGAGGCGCGAAAGCUAGGGGAGCAAACGGG